UACAGGGGGUGCAAACGUUGCUCGGAAUCAUUGGGCGUAAAGCGCACGUAGGCGGUUCGUUAUGUCGGAUGUGAAAGCCCUUGGCUUAACCGAGGAAGUGCAUCCGAAACUGGCGAGCUAGAGUACGAAAGAGGAUCGCGGAAUUCCCGGUGUAGAGGUGAAAUUCGUAGAUAUCCGGAAGAACACCGACGGCGAAGGCAGCGUCCUGGCCGAGCACUGACGCUCAGGCACGAAAGCGCGGGGAGCGAACAGG
rnacentral:rRNA from 1 species